AGUUUUAUUUGAAUAUACGAACAAAACAAAACAGUCUUAUAACAAUAAAACGAAUAGUAACUAACGUAUGAACAUUUGGUAAAACCUGAUACUAACAACCUCGUAAUUCUUAAAUCUUAACUAUACACGAAACAAUGUAUAAUACAUGUUUACAUUACAGAGAUGCUGCUACUGCUGUUGCUGCUGAUUAUCGGCUGCCAACAAGUACUAGUGAUAAAGAUUUACAGCCAUAUGUGAAAGUGGAAAGAAUUUCAGGAGAGCAGUACGCCAGCAUGUAAGAUUUGAGCAAAUGGAAGAGAGCGAUGAAUUUUAGCACCAAAUACUAACAUCAAAUACCGAGUAUCAACUAUUGAACAUCCAGUAACAGUAUUGUUUUAAAAGAUAAUCUGCAUUUAAAAUUUGUGUCCGCAAGAAAAUGUUUUUAAAAAAAAGCAAAAUAACAGAGUUAAAAAUUGCGCAUACCAUUUGGCACUAUUCUAACAACAACAAGUGGAAUAAACAGAAUUAAAACUUGUACAUAGCAUUUGGCACUAUUCUAACAAGUGGAAUAAACAGAAUUAAAACUUGUACAUAGCAUUUGGCACUAUUCUAACAACAAGUGGAAUAAUACUUUUUUAUCCUUUGUUAGAAAUGUAUUGUAACCAACAAUACUAUAUGUAACUUUUGAAAACAGCUUUCUUUAUUGCAAGAAAAUUUGCCUCAAAGCCUUUUGUGAAAAUGAAAUAAAAAAAUUAUCUAGAAAUAUAGCUACGUAAAGAUUUUUUUUUUUUGCUACCAUGAUUUUUUUAUCAUGAUUUUAGAUACUAGAUUCCAAAGUUAAUGGAAAUGUCCUGUAUUAUAACAGAAUUAAAACUUAUACAUAGCAUUUGGCACUUUUCUAACAACAGGUGGAAUAAACAGAAUUAAAACUUGUACAUAGCAUUUGACACUAUUCUAACAAAAAGUGGAAUAAUACUUUUUAUCCUUUGUUAGAAAUGUUUUGUAACCAACAAUACUAUAUGUAACUCUUGAAAACAGCUUUCUUUAUUGCAAGAAAAUUUGCCUCCAAGCCUGUUGUGAAAAUGAAAAAAAGAUUUAUCUAGAAAUAUAGCUAUGUAAUGUUUUUUUUUGAUACCAUGAUUUUUUAUUAUCAUGAUUACAGGUACUAGAUUCCAAAGUUAAUGGAAAUGUCCUGUAUUAUCUUAACAAAUAAAGUUCUCAUUAAUACUGUAAUCUGUCUGGUUGUCUUCUAAUUCGCUGAGGGUAUCUCCUUUGAUUUCGUACAUUUUGUUCAUGUUCAUAAGGAAUUAGAUGAUGUAACAUAGAAAUACAAAUAUUCAUAAUGACAUAAGUGAUGAAAGUAUAAACCUCAACAAACAGAUGAGCCAGUCUGUCUCUGAAUAUGUGUAUGACGCUGAUGAUAGAUGAGGUAGAUGAAAAUACCCAAACCAUCUACAAAAAAAGAGAAAUCUUUAAGUUAUUCACAUUUGCUAUGUUGUCUAAAUGUAGCCACUGAACUUGGCAUAAAUUGGAAUAAGCUUUCCUCUGAGCUUUCUGCAGAUACAUUGAAUAUUGGAUUAGUUAUAGCAGAUGUAGUUGCUGGUAAGCUUAUUCCAAUAUUAUCAAAGUGGUCAUUAUUAGCUGAUCUUGUGUGCAUUUCUACAUCUUCUGAAGAAGGGUUGUGUCCUUUUCUACACUUAAUAAUGAUGAAUAGAAAGAAUAUGAUGAUCAUGAUAAUUGCCGGCACUACAAUGGUUAUGAUGGUGAUGAUCUUAUUGGAAUCAAUAAAAGACAAUUUAUUUAUCAAGACAUUAUAAUAUCUGUGUAACAUAGUCUUACUUGCAUUACUAUAGACAAUAGUUUAUAAUGAAAUAAUUAUGAAGAGUUUAAUAAAUCAAAUAUUAAAAUGCUACAUAUCAGUUUUUUCUUGAAUUUCACUCAUAUUAUUCAAGCUAUAAGUGUGAGACUCCCACUGAAGCCUUUGACUAAACUGUCUUUUUACACAGAUACAUACAUACUUUCUGUACACUAUGAAAACAACAAUUGAACUGAGUAUUAACACCUUGCAAACUGCAAUGGGUAGUAUAACAAGUAAUGUCUCACUUGAUUUUUUACCAUUUGACAAUUUAAACUGAUAAGUUGUCACUUCUACUGAAGAUUUGCUGUUGGUAGCAAAUAUGGAGAAAGACCUCAUUUCUUUCUCAGACGUGGCAUUAUGUUGUUUAAGCGUAGUAAUAAUAAUACCCAAUAAAUCAGAGGUUUCUGUAUAUAUUUGCCAAUUACCUCUUGUUUACUCAGUUAUCAUUUGGCCUUGAGGAGUAGUUGCUUGGGCAUGCUCAGUUUUCAUCUGACCUUGAAGAGUAGUUGCUUGACCAUGAUCAGUUUUCAUCUGACCUUGAGGCGUAGUUGCUUGACCAUGUUCAGUUUUCAUCUGACCUUGAGGAGUAGUUGCUUGACCAUGUUCAGUUUUCAUCUGACCUUGAGGAGUAGUUGCUUGAUCGUGUUCAGUUUUCAUCUGACCUUGAGGAGUAGUUGCUUGACCAUGUUCAGUUUUCAUCUGACCUUGAGGAGAAGUUGCUGACUGGAAAUAAAGAUAUACAACUUUGUCUCUUCUGUUAUAAAUAACUGAAUAAAAUCUGUAAAAAGAUCUUUCUGAAGCAAAGAAUGCAACCAAGAAAAAUAAUAGCAGACUCGGUUCAGGGCUUUUUUCAGUCAGUUUUAUAGCCAUUAUUGGGCUCUGUUCCCAAUGUCAGAAAGUAUGGGUUUUUCCCCAAUUUUGAAAAAAAAAAUCCCAAUUUCAAGAAAAAUAAAGUUUGAAUUCUGAUAGGAAAAACAUUUGUACAUGUCAAGUUUCAUUACCAGUAAAGUCAAUGUAUUAUCUAUCUAUCUAUAUUCCUUUAAUGUCAAACCCCUAACGGAGACGUAUACAUGUUCAUCCU
rnacentral:lncRNA from 1 species